CACCCUGGACUCAGGGACAGGAUUUAUGGGCAGACAUUGUUAGGAGAACAGAUGUUCAGGCAGGCGGGCCUGGGACCCGCUGGAGGGAGUCAAGAAGACACUACCUCCUAAUUAAUAGGCGGUAAAUGUCGGAGGAACAGACUCCUGUUCCAUUUCUUCAAACAUCUGGGGUUCCGGACACUUACGCCCUCUGCCAGGCGAGACAUUUGGAGCAGGCUGAAGAGAUCAUAGAUUCUGGAAGGAGACAUGAAUCCGGGGAUUAAAAGUUGCUGUGCUUUUCCUCAAACAGAACAAUCCUAAAACCACAUAGUCUGAAAGUAUCACUGAAACUGACCCAGAAGAGAAUCCCCAGCCAGAUUUUCCAUGGAGAACCAGACCUGUCUAAACCAGUAUGAGCUUUCAUUACGGUAAAGUAAUGGCAAAAGAAGCCUCAGGGCAGACAAUUCCAGACUCACUAUUUCAGUGGCCUUAGGUGACUUGAUUCACUUCUCUGAGCCUCCAGUUUUCUCAUAUGCAAGACAGGAAGAGUGCUACCACUUUUCAGUUUAAAAGGAAGAUUACAAAUAAGGAUAAAGCUCUUCAUACAUAGUAAGAGCUCAAUAAACAGCAACUAUUACCAUCAUGA